rnacentral:piRNA from 2 species
GCAUUGCGAGCUGGGCACGGAGCAG